UUUUGGGAGAGCAGUAAAGGCUUAAUUUCGAUAUCAUCGAGUCAAACCCAUAAAUUGAUGAAUAGGUUCCCGAGAUGAAGAAUUUGAAACAAACGGAGAAGUUGAAAUAUUGGACUUAAGGCCCACUUUUUUAUUUUUCCAAAUAUUGUAUUUUGUUAUUUUUUGUGUUAGCCCUUAUCAUGUUGUAUUAUUAUUAUUCGGUUAGUUUAGGACAAGUACCGUUGG
rnacentral:misc_RNA from 1 species